rnacentral:rRNA from 1 species
UUCCGGUUGAUCCCGCCGGAGGCCAUUGCUAUUGGAGUCCGAUUUAGCCAUGCUAGUCGCACGGGUUCAGACCCGUGGCGAAUAGCUCCGUAACACGUGGCCAAACUACCCUAUGGAUCGGAAUAACCUCGGGAAACUGAGGCUAAUACCGAAUACCGCUCUCAUCCUGGAACUGGAGAGAGCACCAAACGCUCCGGCGCCAUAGGAUGAGGCUGCGGCCGAUUAGGUAGACGGUGGGGUAACGGCCCACCGUGCCGAUAAUCGGUACGGGUUGUGAGAGCAAGAGCCCGGAGACGGUAUCUGAGACAAGAUACCGGGCCCUACGGGGCGCAGCAGGCGCGAAACCUUUACACUGCACGAACGUGCGAUAAGGGGACUCCAAGUGCGAGGGCAUACAGUCCUCGCUUUUCUGUACCGUAAGGUGGUACAGGAAUAAGAGCUGGGCAAGACCGGUGCCAGCCGCCGCGGUAAUACCGGCAGCUCGAGUGAUGGCCAAUAUUAUUGGGCCUAAAGCGUCCGUAGCUGGCCGAACAGGUCCGUCGGGAAAUCCGCUCGCUCAACGAGCGGACGUCCGGCGGAAACCAGUCGGCUUGGGACCGGAAGACCCGAGGGGUACGGCCGGGGUGGGAGUGAAAUCCUGUAAUCCUGGCCGGACCACCGGUGGCGAAAGCGCCUCGGGAAGACGGAUCCGACAGUGAGGGACGAAAGCUAGGGUCACGAACCGGAUUAGAUACCCGGGUAGUCCUAGCUGUAAACGAUGCUCGCUAGGUGUGGCACUGGCUACGAGCCAGUGCUGUGCCGUAGGGAAGCCGAGAAGCGAGCCGCCUGGGAAGUACGUCCGCAAGGAUGAAACUUAAAGGAAUUGGCGGGGGAGCACUACAACCGGAGGAGCCUGCGGUUUAAUUGGAUUCAACGCCGGG